GUUUCAUCGUUCCAGAAGAAGGCACACGAUUGCGAUGGGAGAAGAGAUCCUUUCCAAAACGCCGAAUUUUAUCGAGCAACGAUCUCCAGAAGGCUGAUCAUGACCAUCAUUAUAUAGGAUGCUGGAAUUUGGGGUCAAGUUGGUUGUUACAAAGCUUGGAAUAACACCAGGUUCCCGAGGUUCCUGCCUUUGAGGAUAUAAUUUCAAAUCAGCAAAGCUGGGAGGCACCCCCAAAUACUCCUGCUGUCUGUGAAGAGAUAAUUCCAAAACAACAAAUGGAUGGUUGCAUUAACUCUGCAUCUUCGUUGCCGAGGUCCAGGAAAACGAAUUCUCCAAGAGCUUUGGUAUGUUAUAGGGUGUUACCUCUGGUGUCUGUGAGUGGGAUCAAUAUCCUGCAAGAAAAGAGGAAAAUAAAGUAUACUCAGCACCAUGGAAAUGCUUAGCUGAACAGUGCCAAAGAUCACCUGAGUGAAUCUGGUUUCACCCUCAGGUAUUACAUAGCUGGCAAGCAGCCCUCGUUAUUAGCACCGCAGGACGCCCUUUUCUCCGCCCGCGGGAAGAUUGGAAGCGAGUCAGGGAGAGAGAUUUGCCAGAAGUCUGGAACUACUCUGAGACCCAUAUUAGCUCAAGGCCUUGUAAUUUCCCGCGGAGGAUGACGCGCUCGUGACGAAGCGAGGGCCUGCUGGCCGGCA